AUGCUAGUUAAAGGAUCUCACUCCGGGCUGAUUAGAGGGCUGUGUCCUGAAUUGGUGCCUGGAGGGGUUAUGUGUUUGCAAUAUGCUGAUGAUACCUUAUUAUUUCUAGAAAAAGAUAGUAGAGUGGCUUUGAAUCUUAAAUGGAUUCUUACCUGUUUUGAACAGGUGUCUGGUAUGAGGAUCAACUAUCAUAAGAGUGCUUUAGUCCCUAUUAAUGUUGCUCCUCAAGAGUUAGAUGAGUUUGUAGAUAUUUUUCAAUGUGUAGUGGGAGCUUUCCCAAUUAAAUAUUUAGGUAUUCCCUUGCAUUUUGAUAAAUUGAGUAGAGAGGACCUGCAGUUCCUGAUAGAUAAGAUCUUAGCCAGAAUAGUUGGUUGGAGAGGGAAGUUGCUGUCCUACCUAGGGAAAAUUAUUCUUAUCAAAACAUGUUUAGCCAGCAUUCCUCUUUACUUGUUGUCUUUUUUAAAAUUUCCAAAGUGGGCACUUAAUUUGAUUAAUUCUCACAUGGCUAAUUGUUUGUGGAGUGACACUGAUGGUGCUCACAAAAUCCAUUUAGCUAACUGGCCUUCCAUUUGUAUGAAGAAAGAGUUUGGAGGGAUGGGGGUCCCAAACCUCCAGGAUAUGAACCUUUGCCUAAUUGGUUCCUGGGUUAAGAGAUACAUAGCUGGAGAGGGAUCUCUGUGGAGAAAGAUUGUAGAUAGUAAAUAUAAUACUAAAAAUCCUAAUAUUCUGUGCUGUAGAGACCCACACCCUUCCCAGUUCUGGAAGAGUUUUAUGUGGGCCCUGCAGGUAGUGAAGAUGGGAUAUAAAUGGCAAAUAGGUGAUGGUAGAUUGGUUAGACUAUGGGAAGAUACCUGGUAUGGUAACACUCCCCUAGCCACACAGUACUGGGACUUAUAUGUUUUGGUUAAUGAGAAGAAUAAAACCAUUGCAGAUCUCUGGGAUGGACAGGAGCUCAAAUGCUCCUUUAGAAGGACCUUCUCGGAUGAACUGAUGUUACAAUGGUUUGAAUUGAUCGAAAUUCUUUCCCUGACUGACUUUACUCAGGGAACAGAUUCUUUGAUUUGGAAGUAUGAGUCUAAAGGAAUUUAUUCUUCUAAAUCUCUAUAUGCUAUUGUUAAUUUCAGGGGGGUGCAGCCUAUUUACCUCCCUGCUGUUUGGAGUGUGAAAGUACCAACUAGAGUUUAA
rnacentral:rRNA from 1 species